GAUGAACGCUGGCGGCGUGCCUAACACAUGCAAGUCGAGCGAACAGACGAGGAGCUUGCUCCUCUGACGUUAGCGGCGGACGGGUGAGUAACACGUGGAUAACCUACCUAUAAGACUGGGAUAACUUCGGGAAACCGGAGCUAAUACCGGAUAAUAUAUUGAACCGCAUGGUUCCAUAGUGAAAGACGGUUUUGCUGUCACUUAUAGAUGGAUCCGCGUCGCAUUAGCUAGUUGGUAAGGUAACGGCUUACCAAGGCGACGAUGCGUAGCCGACCUGAGAGGGUGAUCGGCCACACUGGAACUGAGACACGGUCCAGACUCCUACGCGGAGCAGCAGUAAGGAAUCUUGCGCAAUGGGCGAAAGCCUGACGGAGCAACGCCGCGUGAGUGAUGAAGGUCUUCGGAUCGUAAAACUCUGUUAUUAGGGAGGAACAAAUGUGUAAGUGACUAUGCACGUCUUGACGGUACCUAAUCAGAAAGCCACGGCUAACUACGUG
rnacentral:rRNA from 1 species